CCUACGGGAGGCAGCAGUGGGGAAUCUUGCGCAAUGGGCGAAAGCCUGACGCAGCAACGCCGCGUGCGGGAAGAAGGCCCUAGGGUUGUAAACCGCUUUCAGUAGGAACGAAAAUGACGGUACCUGCAGAAGAAGGUGCGGCCAACUACGUGCCAGCAGCCGCGGUGACACGUAGGCACCAAGCGUUGUCCGGAUUUAUUGGGCGUAAAGAGCUCGUAGGCGGUUCAGUAAGUCGGGUGUGAAAACCUCUGGGCUUAACCCAGAGCCGCCACUCGAUACUGCUGUGACUUGAGUUCGGUAGGGGAGCAGGGAAUUCCUAGUGUAGCGGUGAAAUGCGCAGAUAUUAGGAGGAACACCGGUGGCGAAGGCGCUGCUCUGGGCCGAUACUGACGCUGAGGAGCGAAAGCGUGGGUAGCAAACAGGAUUAGAUACCCUGGUAGUCCACGCCGUAAACCGUUGGGCACUAGGUGUGGGUUCCAACCACGGAAUCCGCGCCGUCGCUAACGCAUUAAGUGCCCCGCCUGGGGAGUACGGCGGCAACGCUAAAACCUCAAANAGAUAGACG
rnacentral:rRNA from 1 species